rnacentral:rRNA from 1 species
UCGUAACAAGUGAACCUGCGGAAGGAUCAUUAUCGAAUAUAAACUUGGGUAGACUGUUGCUGGCUUCUCUUCGAGGGGCAUGUGCACGUUUAUCCUCUUUAUUUUUCCACCUGUGCACCUUUUGUAGGCUUGGAUUAUCAGUGGUUCUAACGUGUCUUUCAAAAGGCAUAAGAAUUGUUUUGGGACUGCUGUGUUUAAACGCAUGUUUAUCAGCUUUCCCUUUUAUUUUCCAAGUCUAUGUUUGCUAUAUACACUCCAGUAAUCUAAUAGAAUGCUGUACUUUAGGUCAUUUGUACCUAUAAUAAAAUCAGUACAACUUUCAGCAACGGAUCUCUUGGCUCUCGCAUCGAUGAAGAACGCAGCGAAAUGCGAUAAGUAAUGUGAAUUGCAGAAUUCAGUGAAUCAUCGAAUCUUUGAACGCACCUUGCGCUCCUUGGUAUUCCAAGGAGCAUGCCUGUUUGAGUAUCAUUAAAUUAUCAACUGUACCAUUUGGUUACAGAUUGGAUGUGGGAGAUUUUGCAGGCUUUGAGAAAAGGUCAGCUCUCCUGAAAUGUAUUAGCAGUGCCUUUGUUGGUUCAUUUAGGUGUGAUAAUUUAUCUACAUCUUCACAUGGUACCUUCAUUUUGUAAAGGUCAUAUUGCUUCUAAUUGUCUUUGGACAAAAAAACAUAAUAUGUGUGACAAACUUGAUCUCAAAUCAGGCAGGACUACCCGCUGAACUUAAGCAUAUCAAUAAGCGGAGGAAAAGAAACUAACAAGGAUUCCCCUAGUAACUGCGAGUGAAGCGGGAAAAGCUCAAAUUUAAAAUCUGACAGUUGUUCUGGCUGUCCGAGUUGUAAUCUAGAGAAGUGUUACCCGCGCUGGACCGUGUACAAGUCUCCUGGAAUGGAGCAUCAU